rnacentral:lncRNA from 1 species
GUUUGAAAUAACUGUGAGUUAAACAUGUUCUUGUCAUUUUUUUUUCAAUUCAAAUGUUUGAUAUUCAAUAAUUCCAAACAUAUUUUGUUGUCUUUGUCAUUGACCAAAAAUCUGACACUGGUGACCAUGUCUUGAAGCCAACCAUUAAAGAAAAUUAUUCAGUUUUUAAACACCAUUUAUUUAAUAAAAAUAUUAAAUAUUUCUU